rnacentral:rRNA from 1 species
UUGAGCGUGACGAGUGGCGGACGGGUGAGGAAUGCAUCGGAAUCUACUCUUUCGUGGGGGAUAACGUAGGGAAACUUACGCUAAUACCGCAUACGACCUACGGGUGAAAGCAGGGGACCUUCUAGGCCUUGCGCGAUUGAAUGAGCCGAUGUCCGAUUAGCUAGUUGGCGGGGUAAUGGCCCACCAAGGCGACGAUCGGUAGCUGGUCUGAGAGGAUGAUCAGCCACACUGGAACUGAGACACGGUCCAGACUCCUACGGGAGGCAGCAGUGGGGAAUAUUGGACAAUGGGCGCAAGCCUGAUCCAGCCAUACCGCGUGGGUGAAGAAGGCCUUCGGGUUGUAAAGCCCUUUUGUUGGGAAAGAAAAGCAGCCGGCUAAUACCCGGUUGUUCUGACGGUACCCAAAGAAUAAGCACCGGCUAACUUCGUGCCAGCAGCCGCGGUAAUACGAAGGGUGCAAGCGUUACUCGGAAUUACUGGGCGUAAAGCGUGCGUAGGUGGUUGUUUAAGUCUGUCGUGAAAGCCCUGGGCUCAACCUGGGAACUGCGAUGGAAACUGGGCGACUAGAGUGUGGUAGAGGGUAGCGGAAUUCCUGGUGUAGCAGUGAAAUGCGUAGAUAUCAGGAGGAACAUCCAUGGCGAAGGCAGCUACCUGGGCCAACACUGACACUGAGGCACGAAAGCGUGGGGAGCAAACAGGAUUAGAUACCCUGGUAGUCCACGCCCUAACGAUGCGAACUGGAUGUUGGGUGCACUUUGGCACGCAGUAUCGAAGCUAACGCGUUAAGUUCGCCGCCUGGGGAGUACGGUCGCAAGACUGAACUCAAGGAAAUUGACGGGGGACCGGCACCAGCGAUGCAGUAAUGUGGAUUUAAUUCGAUGCAAACGCGAAGAACCUUUAUCG